CAAUAGCGUAUAUUAUUGAUGUUGCAGUUGAAACGUUCGUAGUCGAAUCUUAUCUGCCAAAGCAUUGUGUCAUUUAUGAUGACAUAAUGCUCUCGGCAGAGAUUGUACAAGCGUUUGCAUGUGUUUCACAUGUCUGACCUUGUAUCUUACUUUGAGUGAAUCGCCUUGAACGAUUUACCAUAGCAUAAUCAGAGUAUGGAACUGCUUCCUUGUUUGUUCGGAAGCUCUUUCGAUACUGCUAGGAACGGUUGAGGGCAUCCGUAUUCGACUGCUAGAGGUGAAAUUCUUUGAUUAGUCGAGGACGAACCAUUGCGAAAGCAUCUGCCAAGGACGUUUCCUUUGA
rnacentral:rRNA from 1 species